ensembl:lncRNA
GCGGUUGGGAUUUUCCAUUACAGGGAUCCGGUAGGUCAUGCCCAGCAUCUGCCCUCCUUCUCUUCCUGGGUUACAGCAGGAAGGGUGAGUGGAAGGGGGCAACUCCCUUCUCUGCACCGGCCCCUCCACCGACCUUGACUUUGGACCUGGGGAGAUCAGGUAGUGGGAGGAAACAACAAGGAGAAAACAGAUCCAAGUUCAAGCCUCGGUGUGUAGAGAGGAGAGUGAGAGAAGUAAUUGAAGAUGCAGCAAGAAGGCUCAUGGUUAGACAACAGGAGGGACUGCCUGAAGAAGUCGAUGAAAGAGAGACCCACAGGUUGGGGGCAGCCUUGCCCUGGGUGGACAAGAGAUGACUUGGGAUUUAGGAAGCAGCCACUCAUCGGUUCCUGGGUCAGAGUGCCCCGGUUAUCUUCUGCAGGACACAAGACCUCCGACUCCAGGACAUCAACCAGAAUAGACGCCACCUGGUCUUUUGAUCUGGGGUGCCUGGUUGGGCUCCUGCUUCCUUUGAACACAGCCAGUGGUGCCAGCAUGGACCAAUGCCCUUGGGGUAAGAAGAGGGAAGCAGAGACCAAGAAAGACUUGAAGGGGACAAGGUUCCAUUCCCGCUCAGGGAACUAAGAUCCCACGUGCCAUGGGGCAGCUAAGCCCGUGCACUACGGCUACUGAGCCCACACUCUAGAAACUGGUGCUACAACUUGAGAAGCCCACGUGCUGCAACAAAGACCCAGUACAGCCAAAAAAGAAGGCGGAGGAUGGCUGAAAGGAGGUUGUGUGGGAGAGAAGGUGCAUGUUGGCCCUGGAGCGUGUUCAGUGUGAGAUGCUGCUGGCAGGCUUUCCAGUUGCUUGGCACAUGUCUGUGGCACUUCUACUCCUUGCCAGGCACUGUACUAGGCCUGGGGGCAGAGCCAAGAAGAGCCAACAGUGGCCUUGAGCAGCUCACAGCCAGGAUGCAGAGGCAGAUAUAAACCAAGGCUGGGAUGACAAUGCAGAGUGGAGAACACCAUCCAAGGUCUGAGAACAGGUGCUGGGAGAGCGGGGGAGGCUGCAUGGGCAUCAGGGCCCCAGGCCCGCUCCCUCCCAUGGCGAGCUCCUGCACCCAUCUGUUUCUUUGUUUUUGUAAUCUUUAUUUCUGGCUUUGUUUUCCCUUUCCUUUCCCAACAGAGAGCCUUUGGAAAAAUUCCACCCUUGUUUCAGUUGGACUAGGGAAAAGGGGACUUGUCCACUCUUCGGCCAGGAGAGCUAAGGGGUGCCAGGUUCCUGGAGAGUCCAGGGCGCUUGGAAACGCCGGGCCUCGGAGGUAGACGCGAGCCUUCCAUACCAUCAGCAGCUCUAGAGGGCUGUGUAAGUGCACUCACGGAAUUCUCACCCCUUCUUCUCUCCCCACCCCACCCCCGCACACAUACACACCUGCCUCUUACUGAUUCCUCUUUUCCCGAGCCUCAGCACUGCCUCCAUUCAUCCAACAGAUAUUUAUUGAACACCCACUGUGUGUCAGGAGCUGGAAAUACACUGGUGGGAAAACACUAUUAUUUCAAAAGUUUGCACAGAUGCCAGGAGAGAGUGUGUGGUUGCGCACGUGCACGCACAUGUGUGUGUAUGAAUAAGUGUGUGAGGAGGAAGCAUUAAGGGAGCAGGAGCAAGAGGAAUGUUAUGAGCUUAAGCUCGUGAGUUAAACAGCUGGCUUUGGCUUCCAGGUGCUACCAUUUGCUAGCCUGGUGACCUUGGGGAAGUGAUGUAUCCUCCCCAGGCCUCCUGCUCCCAUCUGUAAAUAGGUAACAAUAGGACUCAGCCCUCCGGGUUGUUGCGAGGGCCAAGGGAGUGAGUGUGCGUGUGCAGGGUCUGCAGAGCAGUGCGGGCACACAGCGGGUGUUCACUAUCAGCAGUUCCUGGUGCCUCCUCCUCACCUUGCUCAGAGCUGGGUGUGGACACACUUGCGAACGACCUGUUCUCCAAAUCUGAUCCCCACUCACUGACUCAGAGGCAGCCACUUGGAGUUAACCACCUCCUGCCCCACCCCCGGAGGCUCAGCUACAACUUGCAGCCCACAGAUCUGUCUAGCCAGACUGCUGCCAUCUUCUGCCCUUACUCAGUCCCCACUCCCCCACGCCAGCUGUUCGGGUGGGGAAGAAGUGAUCUCACACAGCAGGGGUUGCCUCAGCCCCGUGCCACCCUCCAGACAUAUGUCUGCAGCACCAGCUCCCUCGUAGCUGGCUGGGGAUGGAGUAGAGGGAUGGGGGAGCCUUUGGGGUGGAGCCCGGG